rnacentral:rRNA from 1 species
CAAAAACAUAGCUUGGUGUAUUUAUAUUAAGUAAUUUCUGCUCAAUGAUAUAUUUAAAUAGCCGCAGUACCCUGACUGUGCAAAGGUAGCAUAAUCACUUGACUUUUAAUUAAAGUCUGGCAUGAAAGAAUAUACGAAGGGUUUGCUAUAUCAUUAACAUGACUAAAAAUUAAUUAGUGAGUGRAAAUGCUCACGUAAUAAAUAUCAGACGAGRAGACCCUAGAAAUUUAUAUUAGAAAUUUUGUUGGGGCAACAUAGUAGCAAUCUUAACCUACAUAGUAACUACUGGAAGUAAAUUUACGGAAUGAUAAAAUUACUCUAGGGAUAACAGCAUUAUACAAAAGUGUUUGUGACCUCGAUGUUGGAUUAGGGAGUUGUAGUUUAGAAAGCAACCAAAACCCUCUGUUCGUGCA